rnacentral:snRNA from 1 species
AGCGUCGUUCGGACCGCCUU